UCAGUUCGGAUUGGAGUCUGCAACCCGACUCCAUGAAGCUGGAUUCGCUAGUAAUCGCGCAUCAGCCACGGCGCGGUGAAUACGUUCCCGGGCCUUGUACACACCGCCCGUCAAGCCAUGGAAGCCGGGGGUGCCUGAAGUGCGCUGCCGCAAGGAGCGCCCUAGGGUAAACCGGUGACUGGGGCUAAGUCGUAACAAGGUACC
rnacentral:rRNA from 1 species